GAUGAAGAACGCAGCGAAAUGCGAUAAGUAAUGUGAAUUGCAGAAUUCAGUGAAUCAUCGAAUCUUUGAACGCACAUUGCGCCCGCUAGUAUUCUGGCGGGCAUGCCUGUUCGAGCGUCAUUUCAACCCUCAGGCCCCCAGUGCCUGGCGUUGGGGAUCGGCCGCUGGCGUCCUUCGGGGCGCCUGGCCGGCCCCGAAAUCUAGUGGCGGUCUCGCUGUAGUCCUCCUCUGCGUAGUAGCACAACCUCGCAGUUGGAACUCGGCGGUGGCCAUGCCGUUAAACACCCCCUAUAUUUUUAAGGUUGACCUCGGAUCAGGUAGGAAUACCCGCUGAACUUAAGCAUAUCAAUAAGCGGAGGA
rnacentral:misc_RNA from 1 species